rnacentral:rRNA from 1 species
AUAUUGCGCAAUGGCCGCAAGGCUGACGCAGCGACGCCGCGUGGAGGAUGAAGCCCCUCGGGGUGUAAACUCCUGUUGCUCGGGACGAACCAUGGGUUUCGACCCAUCUGACGGUACCGAAAGAAUAAGCACCGGCUAACUCCGUGCCAGCAGCCGCGGUAAUACGGAGGGUGCAAGCGUUAUCCGGAAUCAUUGGGUUUAAAGGGUCCGCAGGCGGGAUUGUAAGUCAGUGGUGAAAUCCGGCAGCUCAACUGUCGCACUGCCAUUGAUACUGCAGUCCUUGAAUUUGAUUGGAGUGGGCGGAAUAUGUCAUGUAGCGGUGAAAUGCUUAGAUAUGACAUAGAACACCGAUAGCGAAGGCAGCUCACUAAGUCUGAAUUGACGCUCAUGGACGAAAGCGCGGGUAGCAAACAGG